rnacentral:tRNA from 1 species
CGGAGCGUGGCCUAGUGGCUUAAGGCGCGGCGUUCGGAUCGCCGAGAUCGCAGGUUCAAAUCCUGUCGCUCCGA